AUUGAACGCUGGCGGCAUGCCUUACACAUGCAAGUCGAACGGCAGCACGGGUGCUUGCACCUGGUGGCGAGUGGCGAACGGGUGAGUAAUACAUCGGAACGUACCUUAUCGUGGGGGAUAACGCAGCGAAAGUUGCGCUAAUACCGCAUACGCCCUGAGGGGGAAAGCGGGGGACCGUAAGGCCUCGCGCGAUUAGAGCGGCCGAUGUCUGAUUAGCUUGUUGGUGAGGUAAAAGCUCACCAAGGCGAUGAUCAGUAGCUGGUCUGAGAGGACGAUCAGCCACACUGGGACUGAGACACGGCCCAGACUCCUACGGGAGGCAGCAGUGGGGAAUGUUGGAGAAUGGGGGCAACCCUGAUCCAACAAUGCCGCGUGAGUGAAGAAGGCCUUCGGGUUGUAAAGCUCUUUUGUCAGGGAAGAAACAGCAGCUCUAACACAGUCUGCGAAUGACGGUACCUGAAGAAUAAGCACCGGCUAACUACGUGCCAGCAGCCGCAGUAA
rnacentral:rRNA from 1 species